UGGAGUAGAUAGAACAGAUGCUGAAGG
rnacentral:piRNA from 1 species